CAAAACACACACACACACACACACACACACACACACACACACAAAACAGAUAUACACUGAACACAGCACAAGUGGGACAUAAGAGAUUUAAAAGGGUUAGAGAUGUAAAAUGGAUCUAGGAAUGGAAACCAUAAGGCGGGAUUUAUCAACUGGAUUCUGCAGAAUGCUGUUAAGGCCAGAUGUUAGCAGGUGUUACAUAAAAAAGGGAUACCAUGAGCAAAAGUAUUUGAACAUGGGCAAUGGUUGAAACAAGUUUAAACAGAUUAUC
rnacentral:lncRNA from 1 species